AAAGUUGAGAGGAAAGAAAAAGCGUCACGUCCCUGUGGAUCCUCACCUUGAACCUCUCAGGGAUGGAAGUGGAGAAUAAAAAUUAAUCAUGCAUGUGUGCAGACUGGUAAGGAAACUGCUGGACGUACCUGAGAAGAAAAGAAGAAGCACAGUCCCGAGGAGAAUCAUGUUUGCCGUGUGUGUGUCACCGGGGGUAAAACGGGACGUGGGACGGGACUUUUUCCAGCAGCACCGCUGUGCGCCGCGCAGACAGACACCCAGCCGGCCGCUACAUUCACCGCGCUCCCUCCGUCCGUCCGUGCGCCUUUUGUUCUCUGACUGCCACGGUAAAGUCCCUCAAGUUUCAAUCCCCAGAUGGAAGGACUGAGCCGCCUGGGAGGAAUGUGUCGGAGCCAACACACACAGGCGCUGCGAGUGUGUGGCAGUGUGUGAGUGUCUGUAAGCCCAGCUUCACGGCGCGCUGCGGGGAGAAAUCCGCUUCUGGAUGGAGGACACGUCAGGCGUCACCGGGCUGCUGCUCUGCCCGCGGACAGUCAUCACGACGCGGCUCCGCUGGUGAAGAAGUCCCGCACAUUGUGCACUCAUGAUGCUCUCAGGGGAGGCAGGGGUUAUUAACUGGUGGUAUCCCUCCUCCUCCUCCUCCUCCUCUUCCUCCUCCUCCUCUUCUUCACAUCAUCACCUUGGGGACCAUUAACCAAGGGAUGGAAAUAAUUCGUGUAUUGAGGUCAUUAGAACUGAGCCGUCAUGAUGAUACCGCUUACAUUGCUUUCGUUUGAGUUUUAUUGUCAAUCUAGCCCACUGUCGCGUGUGCAAAGACAGUGAAGAAUAUUCCAGUGGACUCUGAAACUUUUGUCCCCGGCGAAAAUGAUCCUCAAAAAUAGUUAAGACAUUUUAUUUUUUUCAAUACUGCAACAGAAUCAGGGAAGUAUGUUGGUCUUUUAAAGGACAAGUUGAGAAUAGCUGCAGUUCUCCAUGCAUGUAAGUAUGAAAAAAAUCUAAAUCAUGUCAUUGUAAUUAUACAUUAAUUCAAAUUCACCCAUGGACGUGGAACUUUAGGUGCAUUUAUUUGUAGAGGGCAUUAGGAGAUUCAAUGUGCUUUACAGAUAUAAAAGAAACAUAAAGUACAGGUAAGAAGCAUUGUUUUUCGGAUAUUGAAGAGCUCAUAUCACAACAGAUCACUUUUCUCCCAAAAUAUGUGUUUCCUAUCUGUUUGGGUAUAGAACAGGAGGUAGAGCCUUCAUGCUCCCCUCCUGUGGAACCAUCUCUAAAUUUAAGGUUAAACUUAAAACACUUAUUUAUAAAGCUUAUAGUUACAGCUUGCUGGACAAUCCCUAUACCGCUAUAGGCCUAGACCGCUUGGGGACCUCCCAUCAUGCACUGAGCACUUCUCACUCUCCCUCUCUUUGUCUCUUCUCCCCCCAUUUAUUUGAGUACAUGUCACAAACUCCCCCCCCCCACCCCAUAGUCUCUCUCUCUCUCUCUCUCUCUCUCUCUCUCUCUCUCUCUCUCUCUCUCUCUCUCUCUCUCUCUCUCUCUCUCUCUCGCUGGUCGAGGCAGAUGGCCGCCCACAUUGAGUCUGGUUCUGCCAGAGGUUUCCUCCAGUCAAUGACAGAUUUGUUUUAUCUCCACAGUCACUAAAGUGCUGCUCAUUGUGGGAACUGAUAGGUUUCUCUAUCAUUUUGUAUGUUGAGAUACUGUAUGUUGCGCUACAGAAAUAUAAUUGAAUUGAAUAAAAACAAGGAAUAAAAGGAACACUAAAAUCGGUGAAACAUUAGAACUAAUUUAAGCUGUCUCUCUCUCAACGGUAUGCCAUGAUAACAAAGGGUUUUUUCCACAAGCCCUGCACCUUCACAGAGCUGAGUUGAGGGGAUGCAGAUGUGUCUGUAAUAACAGGAUAAAGAGGACUGAAUUCUGAGAAGUACCCAGAGGUGCAACUUCGGCAGUUGCAGCAUUAAGAGAUGAGUCAUCCUCUCAUAAUAUACCUUUUCUUUUUUAUUAUGCCACACAACCAUUAGUUAAAGUUUGUUUCAGGAUAAAGGCUGAAUAAAAAACACUCAAAUCACUUAACAACUAUAUUAACUUUCACAUAAUCUCUGUGAUGAUAAUCAUCUGUUAAUUGUUGACCCGGUGUGAUUUAGUUUACGUCCACAUAUAUCAGAUUAAUUUACACAUUUCUCAGCAAAACAAAAAUCGUGAAAGAAUGUCAUAGAAAUACUGUAUACACACAAACAAUUAAAGAAUAUUAUAAAGAUUGUAAUAGAUUAAGAUGACAAGAAAUGGGCGGAGACUUCCUUUGGCAGAUGACACAAAUCUGAAUUUAUCCAUGAAACCAGAUUAAAAUUAUAAGAAGGACAAACUUCAGGAAAGUCAUAAAAACAUAAUGGCCUGAAUGACCUGUGAUAUAUUUUUUACUUCCAAGUUAAGUUUUUUAAUUUUUUUAUUUCUAUUAAAUGUUUCCCCUUAGAGAAACAAUAUCUUACCUGAUGAAAUUACCUUGGCCACCAGGUUUAACCCGAAGAAGAUCACCUGGUCCCUAAAUACAGCCUCACUUGUAGUUCUUAGCGCCUGUAAGAGUAGAGAAAUGGGAGGCCUAUACAGACCUCAAGCCCACUGCUGAGGGGACUGCUCUAAGCAUGAACUGUUGUCAUAAUUACUAUAAUUAAAUGAUUUGUGCUGAUAUUACAUCUUAAAAUAUCACUAUUAUUUUGUCAUUUCAAUUGCCAGGCUGACAGUGAUUAAAUACAAAGUUUACUCCACUUCUCCUAUGCUCUCUUUCUAUUUUUCCCCUGAUUCCUAUCAACCCAACCAGUUGAGGCAGAUGCCCACGCCACCCCACCCCCACUGGGUCUGGUUCUGUCGUAGGUUUCUUCAUGUUAAAAGGGACUUUAUUUUUUCACUGUUGCUGUGUGUUCAUUGUAGGAACUGUUGCGUUGCUCUAUAACGUUGUUGCAUCUCCACCUUAACACAGGGAAACAGCCUGGUGCUGUGCAUGGUUAAAGGUUCCCUGUGCAGCUUUCUUGAACAGAGACAAAAGUUAUUUUUACAGUCAGUGUUUCUCUGUUGAAUAGUGUGACACCGUUGCUGGAACUGUCUGGCACCAACAUGUUCUAGCACAUGCAUUGGAUCCUUGUUUGACGGUGUGUGUGUGUGUGUGUGGGCACAAGAUACUACUCAUAGGGUCCAUGCAUUAAGUAUAAAUCAUUUGCAGUUAUUCACGUUGUAUAUUGAAAAAUAUUACUUUAAAGGGGGAUGUCCUACUUUCAUUGUCUUUUUGUGUACAAAUGUAAAUGUAUGGUGUAAUCGCAGUUUGCCUGCAAUGGUGUCACAUUGAAUGAAGGUGUAUAAUACAA